UAGGGAAUUUUGGGCAAUGGGCGAAAGCCUGACCCAGCAACGCCGCGUGAAGGAUGAAGUAUUUCGGUAUGUAAACUUCGAAAGAAUAGGAAGAAUAAAUGACGGUACUAUUUAUAAGGUCCGGCUAACUACGUGCCAGCAGCCGCGGUAAUACGUAGGGACCAAGCGUUGUUCGGAUUUACUGGGCGUAAAGGGCGCGUAGGCGGCAAUUCAAGUCAUCUGUGAAAUCUCCGGGCUUAACUCGGAACGGUCAGAUGAUACUGCUUUGCUAGAGUGCAGAAGGGGCAAUCGGAAUUCUUGGUGUAGCGGUGAAAUGCGUAGAUAUCAAGAGGAACACCUGAGGUGAAGACGGGUUGCUGGGCUGACACUGACGCUGAGGCGCGAAAGCCAGGGGAGCAAACGGGAUUAGAUACCCAUGUAGUCCCUGAGCGGGCUGGCAAGGCGCAU
rnacentral:rRNA from 1 species